CGGGGUACACGAGCGGCGAACGGGUGAGUAACACGUGGGUGAUCUGCCUCGCACUCUGGGAUAAGCCUGGGAAACUGGGUCUAAUACCGGAUAUGACCUUACAUCGCAUGGUGUUUGGUGGAAAGAUUUAUCGGUGCGAGAUGGGCCCGCGGCCUAUCAGCUUGUUGGUGGGGUAAUGGCCUACCAAGGCGACGACGGGUAGCCGGCCUGAGAGGGCGACCGGCCACACUGGGACUGAGACACGGCCCAGACUCCUACGGGAGGCAGCAGUGGGGAAUAUUGCACAAUGGGCGAAAGCCUGAUGCAGCGACGCCGCGUGAGGGAUGACGGCCUUCGGGUUGUAAACCUCUUUCGACAGGGACGAAGCGCAAGUGACGGUACCUGUAGAAGAAGCACCGGCCAANUACGUGCCAGCAGCCKCGG
rnacentral:rRNA from 1 species